CGUACGUUGGCUGCUAAGUCAAGAAGGAAGCUUUCCUGAGCCUAGAGGUCGGAGUCGGUUUAAGUACUGCUGUAUCGUCAGAGUAGAGGAGUACCAGCUGCAACUGAAAGCCAACACUCACUGUUUGGGUCGCAAAGCCAGCGGAAUGAGUAAGCGCAACGGGCGUUCUUAUCGUCGGCGAUCUCUACUAGGCAACUUACUCAAUGUUAGCUAAAAUAACAGGAAGGAGUGCAAUAAAAGAUAAUUCCGUGGUCCAACUGAAUCACACCGAAGUCAUGGUAGCUCUCCAGUUCAGUCACACCACUUAGGAGUUGGUACCUGGAAAUUUUGUGUAAAUUAUUAAUUAGAGUAUGAGCUGAUCACGAGUCAAGUGGCGAUGCUGUUCUUAAAUUAAACCUUUUCUUUAAAUAUAUCCAAGAAUACUGUAAGCCUAAGGACAUGUUAAGAUAGAUUAGGUAGACCUGAUGGCUAGAAGAAGAGAAGAGGUAUCCCACUUUCUUCCUCUUCAGAUUUCUAACUGACAUAUUACAGAUACUGUGAACCUUUAAUAAUAUCUAUAUCAAAGGGCUCAUUAUUUAUUUUAUCUCUUGACGAUGAGAUACAGACAUCCUGCACUUAUAGUAAUAAAGUAAUAGUAAACUUGUAUAAGUUAACCUCACCAUUAUGUCUUUAGAUUUAGUUUACAAUAUUCAAUAUAAGCAGGCCGAUGGUUCCAUAUAGAAUUUAACAGAAAUGUGUCUACUUAAAUAGCUAUUAUUGGCACCUGCCAAUAUUUAUUAAUAAAUAAUUACUUUCGGCUUUAGCUAAAUAAUUUGACUUACUUGCUCAGUAAAUUAGGAAAUGAUUCCAUAGUUUGGGCAGGUUCGCUAGGUAUC